rnacentral:rRNA from 1 species
UACGAAGGGGGCUAGCGUUGUUCGGAAUUACUGGGUGUAAAGGGUUCGUAGGCGGUGUGGCAAGUUGGGAGUGAAAUCUCUGGGCUCAACCCAGAGACGGCUUCCAAAACUGCCGUGCUUGAGUGUGGGGAGAGGCUCGUGGAAUUGCAGGUGUAGCGGUGAAAUGCGUAGAUAUCUGCAGGAACACCCGUGGCGAAAGCGGCGAGCUGGACCACUACUGACGCUGAGACGCGAAAGCGUGGGGAGCAAACAGG